UACACUCCUGCGGGAGGCAGCAGUGGGGAAUAUUGCACAAUGGGCGCAAGCCUGAUGCAGCCAUGCCGCGUGUAUGAAGAAGGCCUUCGGGUUGUAAAGUACUUUCAGCGGGGAGGAAGGCGAUAAGGUUAAUAACCUUGUUGAUUGACGUUACCCGCAGAAGAAGCACCGGCUAACUCCGUGCCAGCAGCCGCGGUAAUACGGAGGGUGCAAGCGUUAAUCGGAAUUACUGGGCGUAAAGCGCACGCAGGCGGUCUGUCAAGUCGGAUGUGAAAUCCCCGGGCUCAACCUGGGAACUGCAUUCGAAACUGGCAGGCUAGAGUCUUGUAGAGGGGGGUAGAAUUCCAGGUGUAGCGGUGAAAUGCGUAGAGAUCUGGAGGAAUACCGGUGGCGAAGGCGGCCCCCUGGACAAAGACUGACGCUCAGGUGCGAAAGCGUGGGGAGCAAACAGGAUUAGAAACCCGAGUAGUCCCAUGAU
rnacentral:rRNA from 1 species